AUGCUGCCCGUCCAGCAUGGCCAACUGGCCGAUGAUGGAGAUGAGGCAAACAAAGCGUGGACAGGGGAGAAGAGGCGCCGCAAGCACCUGCCCCCAUCAUCUUCCGAUGCUCCUGCCACUGCCCAGCACCAUGGAGACAUGGAGGGCACCAUCCAAGGGGGCCAAGAUCCGAAUCCUCAUGCGACAGACAUGGAGGGCACCAUCCAAGCGGGCCAAGAUCCGAUUUCUCAUGCGACAGACAUGGAGGGCACCAUCCAAGCGGGCCAAGAUUAUGAUCUGCUGCUGAAAACAGAGCAGGCAAAAGAAGAAAGCGAGCAGUGUUUCGGGCCGUACUUCCUUCUCAGCAAGGAAGACCAGGCCAAGGAUCGUCAAUUUUUGCUUGCCAAUAUUCAGAAGGAGGACGAUUAUCCUACUGACCUGCCACUUUAUUUGACACCGGAGGAGCACAGCAAGAUAGAAGCGCGCCUUGCACGCUAUCGCGUCGCUUAUUACAAGGUUGUGAAUCCGGAGUGCGCACGUGAGCUCAAGGAACCAGAUGAAUACACCGAUGAUGAGCUUCUUAACGAGUCGUACUUUGAUGGGUUAGAAGAUGAUGAAAGUUUUGAGUGGUACAUCCAUCCUGAAGACACCUACAACAUUGAAUUGAAUGACUACCAACGGAUUGUCCCUCGUAAUUUUCUGCCUGGUAGGAUUGGAAACCUGUACCGCUAUCAUGAUGAGUACCGCUCACGUUAUCAUACAUAUAAAAUUGAUGAUGUUUAUGUCAAGUACUAUGCAGAAAUUUCAAAGAAAAUCAAGUGGAUUGCAGAUUUUUUGCAUCUGGAUCGCAAGACUAAGGAUUGGAUAGAAUGGGAUACUAGAGCAUGGAGGCAAGCAUUGAGGAUUGCAACUGGCUUUCCCCAUAUGACUGAAAAAUUAGCUGGUUAUGCUUAUGACGAGUACAUUACGGAGCUGGAAAUGGAUGCGUCCCUCAAGGACAUAGAUCUCCUCUAUUUUGAGAUCUGGAGGCUUGUCGCUAAAGAAAAUAGAACUUACAAAGAGGCUGUGAAGGAAGUUUAUGAGUCUGGCGAGUUCCCUGUACACAAAGCAGUACUACAUGCUGAACUCAAUGGGGGCCAUAUCUUUGUAACGAUGCAAGAAAUGAUUUACGCUGUUGUCCUGGAGGGUGGCAUUAAACUGACUGACGAAGAGAAGAAAGCUAGGGGUGUGUUUAGGAAGUUAUCUUUCAGCAUGCAUAAACCAUUGAACAUGGCUCAGUAUGCUCAGAAGAAGGUGGAGAUAGCAAAACAGUUGAAGUUGGACAAUGAGGAUGGAUUUGUUCCUUUUAGACCCUUUGGGUUCUGA
rnacentral:rRNA from 1 species